rnacentral:rRNA from 1 species
CAGCAGCCGCGGUAAUACAGAGGUCUCAAGCGUUGUUCGGAAUCACUGGGCGUAAAGCGUGCGUAGGCUGUUUCGUAAGGCGUGUGUGAAAGGCGCGGGCUCAACCCGCGGACGGCACAUGAUACUGCGAGACUAGAGUAAUGGAGGGGGAACCGGAAUUCUCGGUGUAGCAGUGAAACGCGUAGAUAUCGAGAGGAACACUCGUGGCGAAGGCGGGUUCCUGGACAUUAACUGACGCUGAGGCACGAAGGCCAGGGGAGCGAAAGGGAUUAGAUACCCCUGUAGUCCUGGCAGUAAACGGUGCACGCUUGGUGUGCGGGGAAUCGACCCCCUGCGUGCCGGAGCUAACGCGUAGGCGUGCCGCCUGGGGAGU